GAGUGAUUCUUAGAUUCAGAAACAAUAUUGCAGAAGAGGAAAAUAACAGAAACGGUCUAGAAAAUGAUGAACUAGCUGAAGAAGAAGAUGAUAAUGCAGAAGAAGAAGAAGAAGAAGAAGAAGAAGACGAAGAAGAGGAAGCAGAAGAAAAAGACGAAGAAGACAGUGAAAAAACCAAAAUGCAAUCACUGUUGUUAAAUUUACUUUCAGCUGCAGAGAGAAAAUAUGGUAGUUUGUGCCACCUGCAAUCUCUCCUAGGUGAUACUACCAAAUAUUACAAUCCGGUUGCUCGUGCUGGACAUAAAGUGCAGCACUGUGCCAAAGGCUUGGUAUUCAAGUAUGAAUACUGCAGAUGCGUACGCAAAAAAGUUACAAGUAAGUG
rnacentral:lncRNA from 1 species